GGGGCCGGCGGCCGGGGAGCCACAGCAAGACCGCGCCGGGCGGCGGCUGAGGUGCGGCGGCUGCGGCCCAGGGCACCUCCCCGCGGCUUCCCGCACCCGGCCCGGCCCGACCCGGGCGGGAGGACGAUGGCAACACCAGCCGCGCUCUGAGCCCCUCGGGAGGAGAACACCCUUCCCGCCACAGCGGCCGCUCCCGGUCCCCUCCGGCCCCCUCAGCGGGGCCGCGCGGAACAGCGAGCAUGGCGGACAACCUGAGGAGACUGGUGUCGAGCGAGUGCGUGCGCACGCUGCAGGAGAAGCUGUGCUGCUGGCUGGAGGAGUACAACACAAACACGUGCGAUCAAAAUCUAAACAUUUGCCUUGAACUCAUUGAACAAGUUGCCAAAGUGCAGGGACAGCUCUUUGGGAUCCUGACAACAGCGGCCCAAGAAGGAGGACACAAUGACGGCGUGGAGACGAUCAAAUCGCGCCUCUUGCCCUGGCUGGAGAAUUCCUUCACUGCUGCUUCCAUGGGAAAACCUGUCGACAGCAGGGUCCCCUCUCUGCAGGACACAUUUGACAAGGAGAGACAUAAAGAUUCUGGCUCUCGGGAUCGAGACUUACAACAGUUAGACUCCGAUUUGAACUCGACCCGUAAUCAACUCAACAAGGUUCAAGACGAUCUGGCUGAAACUGAAAAGACUCUUGAAGAAACCAAGACCAGAUCGGCCAUAUCCCUUUUGGCUGCAGAGGAGGAAAUAAAUCAGCUAAAAAAGCAGCUGAAGUCCCUGCAAUCGCAGGAGAAGGCCCGCCACCGGAGCUCGGACUGCCGGGACUUGGACAGCCGGCGCCCGGAGCCCCGCAGCUCGCCCCGCAGCUCGCCCCGCGUCACGACCAAGCACAGCUCGUCCAGGCGCAGCUCGGAGCAGCGCGACGCGGACCCCUCGUCCCGCUACGAGAGCCAGAUGCGAAACCUCAAGGACGAGAUAGCCGUUCUGUCCUCAGAAAAGUCCCCGCUCCAAAGAAGGCCCAGCAGGAGCCGGUCUCCGAGCCCGGACCCUUGCAGCCACAGCCGCAGCCACAGCCGGAGCCACAGCCGCAGCCGCAGCCGCAGCCGCAGCCGGUCUGGCAGCCCCUCCACCCACCUGAAGAUCAGGACGCCGUCCCCGAACCGCUCCAAACUGUCCAACGUGGCGCGCAAGGCUGCGCUCCUGUCCCGGUUCAGCGACGCGUACUCGCAGGCCCGCCUGGACGCGCAGUGCUUGCUGCGGCGCUGCAUAGACAAGGCCGAGACGGUGCAGCGGAUCAUCUACAUCGCCACCGUGGAGGCAUUCCAUGUAGCUAAAAUGGCAUUCAGACAUUUCAAGAUCCGUGUGAGGAAAUCGUUGACGCCAUCCUACGCAGGGUCCAAUGACUUUGAGAAUGCUGUCUCGGAUUAUAUCAUCUGUCACCUCGAUUCCUAUGAUGUCCAAAGCAGUGUCAAUGACGUGAUCCGGGCCAUGAAUAUCAACCCCAAGAUUUCGUUCCCUCCUGAAGUUGACUUUUGCAUCCUCAGCGACUUCAUCCGGGAGAUAUGUUGCAUUGCUUUUGCGAUGCAGGCAUUAGAACCGCCCCUAGAUAUUGCAUUUGGGGCAGACGGAGAAGUUUUCAAUGAUUACAAGUACCGCCGCAGCUACGACUCGGACUUCACUGCUCCCCUGGUCUUGUACCACGUGUGGCCUGCUCUCAUGGAGAAUGACUGUGUCAUUAUGAAGGGAGAAGCUGUCACCAGGAGAGGGGCUUUUGUACGGUGGCCUUGCAUAGUGACAAUUCAUCCCAAGUGUUUGAUUCACAAUGGAGCUCGGUGCGUUCUGUAAGUCGAUGUCGAAGCAGGAGUUUGAGUCCUAUUUGCUCCCGUAGCCGUAUUGGAUUAAGCGCAAUAUCUCGAAGUCGGAGCCCUUCUCCAAUAAGAUGUGUAUUGCCAAGGUUUUAAAGCCACUAGACAUGUUCCUUUGCCGCAGUUCGUCCUAACAGCUAAGUUCCCGGGGCCUCCACCUGCCUGCUGUCUGCCUCCGACCUCACUUAAGAUAAUGUGAAAAGGCAAUUCUGUGUAUCACUCCGCACAGAGAGUUAAAUGUUUUGGCUUAGCGUGUUUGUAACCUCA